rnacentral:misc_RNA from 1 species
GUCUUAUUGAUAAUAAUUUUAAGUCUAAUCUGCCCAAUGAAAUAUUUAAUGGCUGCAGUAUUUUAACUGUACAAAGGUAGCAUAAUAAUUAGUUUCUUAAUUAGGGACUGGAAUGAAUGAUUGAACGAGAUAAUAACUGUCUUGGGUUAAUUUUUAGAAUUUUAUUUUUAAGUUAAAAAGCUUAAAUUUUUUUAAAAGACGAGAAGACCCUAUAGAAUUUUAUAUUAAAUUUUAAUUUUAAUUUAAGAUAAUAAAAUUAACAUUAUUGUAAUAUAUUUAGUUGGGGUGAUUAAAAAAUUUAUAAAACUUUUUUUUAUUUAUUUUACAUGAGUAAGUGAAUUUUUGAUCCAAAAAUUUUGAUUAUAAGAUUAAAUUACCUUAGGGAUAACAGCGUAAUUUUUUUAGAGAGUUCUAAUCGAUAAAAGAGAUUGCGACCUCGAUGUUGGAUUAAAGUUAAUUUUUAAUGUAGAAGUUAAAAUAUUAGGUCUGUUCGACCUUUAAAACUUUACAUGAUCUGAGUUUAAAUCGGCGUGAGCCAGGUUGGAUUCUAUCUUUAAAUAGAUUAAAUAUUUUAGUACGAAAGGACCGAAUAUUUAUUAUAAUAAUUUAACUUAGAAUAAUAUUAUUAUUUUGGCAGAAUAGUGCUUUAAAUUUAGAAUUUAAAUAUACGAAUAUAUAAUUUGUAAAUAAUAC